AUAAAAAUAAUAGUUUUCACUCAUAUAAUCGCAGGAAUAUGGCCUGCAAGUUUCUACCGGACCCCGUAAAGGUACCGACUAUGAGUAGCGAUAUGAUUGUG
rnacentral:ncRNA from 1 species